rnacentral:rRNA from 1 species
GAUGAACGCUGGCGGCGUGCUUAACACAUGCAAGUCGAACGAUGGCGCACAACUUGCUGGGUGGUUUAGUGGCGAACUGGUGAAUAACACGUGAGUACCCUGCCCUUUACUUUUGUAUAAGCGUGGGCAACUGGGACUAAUCCUGGAUAUGACUUAUCAUCGCCUGGUGGAGGGUGGAAAGCUUUAUUGGUCUUGGAUGGACUCGCGGCCUAUCAGCUUGUUGGUGGGGUAAUGGCACACCACGGCGACGACGGGUAGCCGGCAUUGGAGGGUGGACAGCCACACUGGGACUGAGAGACGGCCCAGACUCCUACGGGAGGCAGCAGUGGGGAAUAUUGCACAAUGGGCGCAAGCCUGAUGCAGCGACGCCGCGUGAGUGAAGACGGCCUUCGGGUUGUAAAACUCUGUCAGUAGGUAAGAAGCGAGAGUGACGGUACCUGCAGAAGAAGCGCCGGCUAACUACGUG